CCGGAAGGCCCCGGCGGGGAGCAGGGCCCGCCGGCCGCCGGCCGCGGUGGACGCCCCCGGAGGACGAGACACAACCGUCACCACCGUCAACUUGACGUUUUCCGCACCCGGAGAGGACGCUGGGAGCCCGCAGAGCGGCCGCCCACACCCCAGGAGGGAAGAAGCUGUGCGCUCUCACUCGCCGGGGAGGCCAGGCGGCAGAGGCUCACCCUCGGGAGAGAAGGUCACCCCAGCAGCCACCCUCCUCACCUGGCUCCCACGUGAGCACCCAGAGGCGAAGAGUCUCCUUGUUUCUGCUCCUGCUGCGUGUUGACAGACUAUAGCAACGCUGACCAGUGUCGUUCCUUAGAGAUCAUCGUUGCUUGAUGCAGAAGCUGACGUCCAGACUGUCUGGCUAAACUGCCUACAUUUUCUAGGGCAGCUGCCAUUUAAAAUACUCUGUAUGAUUUUAACAAAAAACAACAAAAGGAGAGGUUCGAGAGAUAAUGGGACAGUCAGAAGAUGGAAGCAGCCCAGAUAUCUGAGGACGGACGGACUGAUAUAAUGUAAUUUACCCAUAAUAUUAUUAAAACUCAAAAAGGGAAUGAAAUCCUGACACCGGCUGCAUGGAUGGGCCUCAAGGACAUGAUGCCGAGUGAAAUUACCAGACACAAGAUGACAAAUACUGUGUGAUUUCACUGUAUAAGGUCCCCAGAGCAUGCAAACCUGUGGGGACAGAAAAUUCGGUGCAAGUUAUGGGGCUGGGGAAGAGGAGGGAGAGUUAGUAUUUAGUAGGGACAGGGUUUCAGUUUGGGACAUUGAGAAGACGCUGGAGAUGGACGGUGGUGAC